rnacentral:snRNA from 1 species
GGAUAUGAGGUUGAUCUGGCUGUGACCUCUGUCACCCAAUGAUUCAGCUGAUCUGCCUGGAUAGACAGGUGUUCCCUUCCUCACCACACCAUGUUCAUCCCUCCCAAAGCUGCAUAUUCUUUUGAAGAGGAUGACCUUCUCCAAAUAGAGACAGACUCAUCUUUGGUUGAGGGCAUGUGUUUCCCUGCUAGAACCUUCAAACAAGCUCUCAAGGGCCAAUAAAGAACAAGUAAUGUCCUUGAACUAUCCUCUGUGUGAUGGGUACUUUC